rnacentral:rRNA from 1 species
GACGAACGCUGGCGGCGUGCUUAACACAUGCAAGUCGAACGGAAAGGCCCUGCUUUUGUGGGGUGCUCGAGUGGCGAACGGGUGAGUAACACGUGAGUAACCUGCCCUUGACUUUGGGAUAACUUCAGGAAACUGGGGCUAAUACCGGAUAGGAGCUCCUGCUGCAUGGUGGGGGUUGGAAAGUUUCGGCGGUUGGGGAUGGACUCGCGGCUUAUCAGCUUGUUGGUGGGGUAGUGGCUUACCAAGGCUUUGACGGUAGCCGGCCUGAGAGGGUGACCGGCCACAUUGGGACUGAGAUACGGCCCAGACUCCUACGGGAGGCAGCAGUGGGGAAUAUUGCACAAUGGGCGGAAGCCUGAUGCAGCAACGCCGCGUGCGGGAUGACGGCCUUCGGGUUGUAAACCGCUUUCGCCUGUGACGAAGCGUGAGUGACGGUAAUGGGUAAAGAAGCACCGGCUAACUACGU